rnacentral:rRNA from 1 species
UACGUAGGGUGCGAGCGUUAAUCGGAAUUACUGGGCGUAAAGCGCGCGCAGGCGGUUCUUUAAGUCUGAUGUGAAAGCCCACGGCUCAACCGUGGAGGGUCAUUGGAAACUGGAGAACUUGAGGACAGAAGAGGAAAGCGGAAUUCCACGUGUAGCGGUGAAAUGCGUAGAGAUGUGGAGGAACACCAGUGGCGAAGGCGGCUUUCUGGUCUGUAACUGACGCUGAGGCGCGAAAGCGUGGGGAGCAAACAGG